GACGCGGCCUAUCAGCUUGUUGGUGGGGUAACGGCCUACCAAGGCAUCGACGGGUAGCUGGUCUGAGAGGAUGAUCAGCCACACUGGGACUGAGACACGGCCCAGACUCCUACGGGAGGCAGCAGUGGGGAAUCUUGCGCAAUGGGCGAAAGCCUGACGCAGCAACGCCGCGUGCGGGAAGAAGGCUCUCGGGUUGUAAACCGCUUUCAGCAGGAACGAAAAUGACGGUACUUGCAGAAGAAGGUGCGGCCAACUACGUGCCAGCAGCCGCGGUGACACGUAGGCACCAAGCGUUGACCGGAUUUAUUGGGCGUAAAGAGCUCGUAGGCGGUUCGGUAAGUCAGGUGUGAAAACUUUGGGCUCAACCCAAAGCCUGCAUCUGAUACUGCUGUGACUAGGGUUCGGUAGGGGAGCGGGGAAUUCCUAGUGUAGCGGUGAAAUGCGCAGAUAUUAGGAGGAACACCGGUGGCGAAGGCGCCGCUCUGGGCCGAAACUGACGCUGAGGAGCGAAAGCGUGGGUAGCAAACAGGAUUAGAUACCCUGGUAGUCCACGCCGUAAACGU
rnacentral:rRNA from 1 species